rnacentral:rRNA from 1 species
UGGGGAAUUUUCCGCAAUGGGCGAAAGCCUGACGGAGCAAUGCCGCGUGGAGGUGGAAGGCCUACGGGUCGUCAACUUCUUUUCUCGGAGAAGAAACAAUGACGGUAUCUGAGGAAUAAGCAUCGGCUAACUCUGUGCUAG